AGUGAACGCUGGCGGUAGGCCUAACACAUGCAAGUCGAACGGCAGCACAGUAAGAGCUUGCUCUUACGGGUGGCGAGUGGCGGACGGGUGAGGAAUACAUCGGAAUCUACUUUUUCGUGGGGGAUAACGUAGGGAAACUUACGCUAAUACCGCAUACGACCUACGGGUGAAAGCAGGGGAUCUUCGGACCUUUCGCGAUUGAAUGAGCCGAUGUCGGAUUAGCUAGUUGGCGGGGUAAAGGCCCACCAAGGCGACGAUCCGUAGCUGGUCUGAGAGGAUGAUCGGCCACACUGGAACUGAGACACGGUCCAGACUCCUACGGGAGGCAGCAGUGGGGAAUAUUGGACAAUGGGCGCAAGCCUGAUCCAGCCAUACCGCGUGGGUGAAGAAGGCCUUCGGGUUGUAAAGCCCUUUUGUUGGGAAAGAAAAGCAGCAGGUUAAUACCCCGCUGUUCUGACGGUACCCAAAGAAUAAGCACCGGCUAACUUCGUG
rnacentral:rRNA from 1 species